rnacentral:ncRNA from 1 species
UGACCCGGUCGGGCGCGACGCCAAAGACCAAAGAACCGGGGAAAGAACCCAACCCACCCCCGCCGCCCCCGUCGGUCACCCUCCGGAGUGAAUAUCACCAACUCGGCUGGCGCGGCGCGGCGUUCAUGGUGCAGCGUCAGCGGCGACGACCCCAGACAUGAUUCGGCCCCCGCCGGGACUGGCAUCCCACUGCGAGGGCCUGAUCACCUAGGAAGACGAGCCCUUCCCG